UUUUUAUGGAGAGUUUGAUCCUGGCUCAGGAUGAACGCUGGCGGCGUGCCUAAUACAUGCAAGUCGAGCGAACAGACGAGGAGCUUGCUCCUCUGACGUUAGCGGCGGACGGGUGAGUAACACGUGGAUAACCUACCUAUAAGACUGGGAUAACUUCGGGAAACCGGAGCUAAUACCGGAUAAUAUAUUGAACCGCAUGGUUCAAUAGUGAAAGACGGUUUUGCUGUCACUUAUAGAUGGAUCCGCGCCGCAUUAGCUAGUUGGUAAGGUAACGGCUUACCAAGGCAACGAUGCGUAGCCGACCUGAGAGGGUGAUCGGCCACACUGGAACUGAGACACGGUCCAGACUCCUACGGGAGGCAGCAGUAGGGAAUCUUCCGCAAUGGGCGAAAGCCUGACGGAGCAACGCCGCGUGAGUGAU
rnacentral:rRNA from 1 species